UACGGGGGGGGCAAGCGUUGUUCGGAAUUACUGGGCGUAAAGGGCUCGUAGGUGGCCAACUAAGUCAGACGUGAAAUCCCUCGGCUUAACCGGGGAACUGCGUCUGAUACUGGAUGGCUUGAGUUCGGGAGAGGGAUGCGGAAUUCCAGGUGUAGCGGUGAAAUGCGUAGAUAUCUGGAGGAACACCGGUGGCGAAGGCGGCAUCCUGGACCGACACUGACACUGAGGAGAGAAAGCCAGGGGAGCAAACGGG
rnacentral:rRNA from 1 species